rnacentral:rRNA from 1 species
GAUGAACGCUGGCGGCGUGCCUAAUACAUGCAAGUCGAGCGAACGGACGAGAAGCUUGCUUCUCUGAUGUUAGCGGCGGACGGGUGAGUAACACGUGGAUAACCUACCUAUAAGACUGGGAUAACUUCGGGAAACCGGAGCUAAUACCGGAUAAUAUUUUGAACCGCAUGGUUCAAAAGUAAAAGACGGUCUUGCUGUCACUUAUAGAUGGAUCCGCGCUGCAUUAGCUAGUUGGUAAGGUAACGGCUUACCAAGGCAACGAUGCAUAGCCGACCUGAGCGGGUGAUCGGCCACACUGGAACUGAGACACGGUCCAGACUCCUACGGGAGGCAGCAGUAGGGAAUCUUCCGCAAUGGGCGAAAGCCUGACGGAGCAACGCCGUGUGAGUGAUGAAGGUCUUCGGAUCGUAAAACUCUGUUAUUAGGGAAGAACAUAUGUGUAAGUAACUGUGCACAUCUUGACGGUACCUAAUCAGAAAGCCACGGCUAACUACGUG